rnacentral:rRNA from 1 species
CUACGGGUCGCUGCAGUGGGGAAUAUUGGACAAUGGGGGAAACCCUGAUCCAGCAAUGCCGCGUGUGUGAAGAAGGCCUGCGGGUUGUAAAGCACUUUCGGUUGGGAGGACUGCUUCUAGCACUAAUAUUGUUGGAAGUUGACGUUACCUUCAGAAGAAGCACCGGCUAACUCCGUGCCAGCAGCCGCGGUAAUACGGAGGGUGCAGGCGUUAAUCGGAAUUACUGGGCGUGAAGCGCGCGUAGGCGGCUAGAUCAGUCGGGUGUGAAAGCCCCGGGCUUAACCUGGGAACUGCAUCCGAUACUGUCUAGCUUGAGUACAGGAGAGGAGAGUGGAAUUCCACAUGUAGCGGUGAAAUGCGUAGAUAUGUGGAGGAACACCAAUGGCGAAGGCAGCUCUCUGGCCUGAUACUGACGCUGAGGUGCGAAAGCGUGGGGAGCAAACAGGAUUAGAUACCCCGGUAGUC